rnacentral:lncRNA from 1 species
UUCCUAUCUUGCCUAUAUAAACCCUUGCAGUUCAGGUUUAGUCAAUACCAAAAUCCUCCUUCGCUUUGAACUAAGUAGAGAAAAAUAGCCACGGCAGAUCGUGAUCGAAGUCAAUUCCAGCGUGUUCAACGUGAAGCUCGCAGAAUGCAUAAAGAAAAGAGAAAGGCCAAGGAUAACAAAAUGACAAGUACUGAGGAACCGAUGCCAAAACUUGAAACAAUUAAUGAUAGCGGCAAGAAGGAUACUGCAACAAAGAAAGGCAAUAUAUCCUUGGCAAGCCCCUACAUCGCUCAAGCUCAUCCUCCUCGUCAAGCUCUCCAUCUGUAAGCCUAAUUACCUACUUUCUAUCUAGAUGACGGUUGGUUUCUUUCAAUUAGCUCAUGUUUACUUAUCAUAACUCCAUUAUCAACUCUCUUUAUCUAUGAACAUGUUUUUUAUAUGAGAAUUUAACCAUAUAUAUGAUCUUAAUUUGCCAUUUGCAUUUCUACUUUGUGCUUGUAAUAAAUGGCUUCGAAAUGGAUUUGCUUGAAAGAUUGACUCCUAUUUCAUCGAAUUAAAGCUUUCACAAUGCUUAAUGAUAAGAAAGCCAAUGUACAAAACUCUCAUUCUUGAAAAAGAAAAGGGUAAAACCUCAUUAAUAAUUUAAAACUAUAUCACACUUAAUUACAAAAAUAUACAAUAGCACACUUGAGAAUUUAGCAGUUAUAAGCAUCAUACCAUAGAGAAUAUAGUUCUGAUUAAUUUCUUGAGAUAAACGCUUUAAUAUUUGAAUAUUAAUUCCAUAUGCAGUCUGAGGAAGGCGACAUGAUUAUAAAAGACAAAUCUCCUGCUGCCCCAACAGCUGAACAAAGGCAACAGCAGAAGAUGAAAAGAAUGUCCCAGCACCAUGAGAAGAAAGGAAUACUUGAGAAGAUCAAGACGAAGCUCCCUGGAAUCAAUUAGAUAACUUUAAUAAACUAGUUUAUACUAUAUAGCCUUGUUUGUAACUUAUAUGCGCAGGUUACUAGUAAUAAGCGCUCCUUACAAAAUUGUGAUAAAAUACAACAGGCAGAGUAUUAUAGGAGAUGUGUUCUCAUACAUGCAGGCUGGUUUCUGCACCGGAAUUCCAGCUUUAUUGUUUAUACAUCUGACUCAUUUAACUAAAUAAAUACUGUCUUUGACUACUUGAAAGCGGUGAAAAUAUUAUAGUCACAGGAUAUAUAGCCACUGGCCCACUGCUGUUCUGACAACAACUUAUUUUGUUAGAAAAAUGCAAUACAAAGACUGUUGAUUGAUGCAAACUUCAGAAUAUGAUGG